GGAAUAAAGUAUCCUACGUGUAGGAUUUUGUAUGUACCGUAUGAAUAAGCAUCGGCUAACUCCGUGCCAGCAGCCGCGGUAAUACGGAGGAUGCGAGCGUUAUCCGGAUUUAUUGGGUUUAAAGGGAGCGCAGACGGGAGAUUAAGUCAGUUGUGAAAGUUUGCGGCUCAACCGUAAAAUUGCAGUUGAUACUGGUUUCCUUGAGUGCAGUUGAGGCAGUCGACGCGGUGAAAUGCGU
rnacentral:rRNA from 1 species